UUACAUGUAAGACUAUUUCCAAUUACUAAGAGCAGAGCUAACACUGGGUCUUGCUUUGUUACAAACUAAAGCAAUUUCAUCUCUGAACUGCCUUUUCCAUACAUGUAUAUUCUUCUGACCAUGUUCAAAGAUAAUGCCGUUUCUUGUGUUCCAAAUGAUCCAGCAGGCAGUAAUGAGAAUUUCUCUAAAGAUGGGGUUGCCGAAUUGUAAGUGUGCUUGUAAAAUCAUGUCCACAGGAUUAAGGUUGAGGUCCCAAGAUAUGGGGAUUGUCUCCCAGCAUUCUUUACUGAAGCUGCAUUCAAAAAAUAAGUGGAGACUGGUCUCUUCGCACCCCUGGGAGCACAUGACACAUGUAUAGUCAUCUAGGUGCAUGUGUUUUCUGCGU
rnacentral:lncRNA from 1 species